rnacentral:sRNA from 2 species
GACUGUGUAACCAUGUAUGAGACUGAAAUCAAAUUUUUUCUCAAUUUCAUUAUUAGAUAUCUUAGUUCUGAUCUCAUAUAGUGUUUAGUAAAUUAGUCACUUUACACUAUUUAUAUUAUAAAUCUAGUCUCAGAUCAUGUUUUACUAAUAAAUUAGUGAUUCUGGUUUCAUUUGAUCUCAUUUUACAAAAUGGGACCAAAUGAGAUCAUGAUUUAUCCUAUAUAGAUUGGCAGCAAUAGAUAGGUUGGCAGCGGUAGGUAGAUUGGCAGUGGUAGAUAGGUUGGCAGUGAUAGAUUAGCAGUGAUAGAUUAGCAGUGAUAGAUUAGCAGUGAUAGAUUAGCAGCAAUAGAUAGAUUGGCAGUGGUAGGUAGAUUGGCAGCGGUAGGUAGGUUGGCGGCGAUAGAUUAGCAGCGAUAGAUUAGCAGUGAUAGAUUAGCAGUGAUAGAUUAGCAGCAAUAGAUAGGUUGGCAGUGGUAGGUAGGUUGGCAGCGGUAGGUAGGUUGGCAGCGGUAGGUAGGUUGGCAGCAAUAGAUUAGCAGCGAUAGAUUAGCAGCGAUAGAUUAGCAGCGAUAGAUAGGUUGGCAGCAGUAGGUAGGUUGGCAGCGGUAGGUAGGUUGGCAGCAAUAGAUUAGCAGUGAUAGAUUAGCAGUGAUAGAUUAGCAGUGAUAGAUUAGCAGCGAUAGAUAGGUUGGCAGCAGUAGGUAGGUUGGCAGCAGUAGGUAGGUUGGCAGCGGUAGGUAGGUUGGCGGCGAUAGAUUAGCAGCGAUAGAUUAGCAGUGAUAGAUUAGCAGCAAUAGAUAGGUUGGCAGCGGUAGGUAGGUUGGCAGUGGUAGGUAGGUUGGCGGCGAUAGAUUAGCAGUGAUAGAUUAGCAGUGAUAGAUUAGCAGCAAUAGAUUAGCAGCGAUAGAUAGGUUGGCAGUGGUAGGUAGGUUGGCAGCGGUAGGUAGAUUGGCAGCAGUAGGUAGGUUGGCGGCGAUAGAUUAGCAGUGAUAGAUUAGCAGCAAUAGAUUAGCAGUGAUAGAUAGGUUGGCAGUGGUAGGU